GAUGAACGCUGGCGGCGUGCCUAAUACAUGCAAGUAGAACGCUGAAGCUUGGUGCUUGCACCGAGCGGAUGAGUUGCAAACGGGUGAGUAACGCGUAGGUAACCUGCCUCUUAGCGGGGGAUAACUAUUGGAAACGAUAGCUAAUACCGCAUAAAAGUUGACAUUGCAUGAUGUUGAUUUGAAAGAUGCAAUUGCAUCACUAAGAGAUGGACCUGCGUUGUAUUAGCUAGUUGGUGAAGUAACGGCUCACCAAGGCGACGAUACAUAGCCGACCUGAGAGGGUGAUCGGCCACACUGGGACUGAGACACGGCCCAGACUCCUACGGGAGGCAGCAGUAGGGAAUCUUCGGCAAUGGACGGAAGGCUGACCGAGCAACGCCGCGGUAGUGAAGAAGGUUUUCGGAUCGUAAAGCUCUGUUGUAAGAGAAGAACGAGUGUGAGAGUGGAAAGUUCACACUGUGACGGUAACUUACCAGAAAGGGACGGCUAACUACGUG
rnacentral:rRNA from 1 species